AACGAACGCUGGCGGCAGGCCUAACACAUGCAAGUCGAACGGUAACAGGUCUAGCUUGCUAGAUGCUGACGAGUGGCGGACGGGUGAGUAACGCGUGGGAAUCUGCCUUCUAGUGGGGGAUAGCCCGGAGAAAUCCGGAUUAAUACCGCAUACGCCUACGGGGAAAGGACCGGGAGUCUUCGGACCUGGCGCUAGUAGAUGAGCCCGCGUGAGAUUAGCUUGUUGGUGGGGUAAGUGGCCUACCAAGGCAACGAUCUCUAGCUGGUCUGAGAGGACGAUCAGCCACACUGGGACUGAGACACGGCCCAGACUCCUACGGGAGGCAGCAGUGAGGAAUAUUGGACAAUGGGCGAGAGCCUGAUCCAGCCAUGCCGCGUGCAGGAAGACGGCCCUAUGGGUUGUAAACUGCUUUUGUACGGGAAGAAACACCCCCUCGUGAGGGGGCGUUGACGGUACCGUAAGAAUAAGGAUCGGCUAACUACGUGCCAGCAGCCGCGGUAAAG
rnacentral:rRNA from 1 species